UUUCCUGUCAAAGAAUAGGAAGAUGGCUGGUGAAGUUUGGGGUGGGUAGUGGGAUAGAUAAGCAUUCCUUACCUGCAUUACAGACUAUUGAGAAAUUAAGGAUGUGGAAAACACUCCAAAAUUUACUAGAUAUGGCCCAGCUAGUCUCAAGCAAAAUGCCUGGAAUUAAAUGUUUUAUCAUUAACCAAAAAGAAGGGAAUUAAACUCCACAAGCUGGGAACUCAAGAAUGAAGACAAAGCAUAAGAAAACAAACUGAUGAAAACAAGAUAGAACAAACAAGAUAAAACAAAUUAAUGAAUUAGAAAACAGGAAAUCUGUUCAUUUUAAUAAAUACAUUGAAGACAAUAAAAUUAGAUACAAGUGGACCUGGAAAUGGAACAAAACAUCGAUUGAAGAAGCCACAGAGGAAGCUCUGUGUGAGUGUGUGUGUGUGUGUGUGUGUGUGAGGGGGGCACAAGGAGGAUGACAGACUUUACAACAUCGACAUGCACUUAUUUAACAUCAGUUUACUGAUCACAUGCUGUGUGCAAGGCACUUUUCUAAGCACUGGGAGCGUAACACUAACCAGAUGAAGAGCAAUGCCCUCAAUGCCAUUCUCAGCUCUAGUGAGCCUUGAGGUAAUGUCAGGUGGGAACCAGUAACAUCAGCUCAGCUAAGUCCCAAGGCUGGCCAAAGUGCCUGGAUCCCAAAAUGUAAGUUGAACAAACAAGAAAAUGCUGCAGCUCAGGUGAGAUGGUAAAGCAGGAGAUGAGAGGAAUUUAAACUUCUUUUCAGAAAGCCUGGAUCCAGAAGGCAGAAAAAGAACACAAAAACAUUAAUAUUUAUUUUUCAGUUUUAUUUUUUGAGAUGGGGUCAUGCUGUGUUACUGUGGCUUGUCCCAAACUCAUAAGUGAUCCUCUUGCCUCAGCCUCCUGAGUGCUGGGACUCCAGGCAUGUGCCAACCACACCUGGCUAGAAAAUUAAUAUUUAUUAAUGACCCAGGGAACCUAUCUACUCACCAGUGUGUCUGAAGGGCCAUGAGAUGGACUGACCAGCACCCAAUUACCCAAUCUCUUGAAACUAAGGACUUACUUUGGAGUGGGUCCCUCCUUCCCUCCCUUUCUGUUCCCUAUUCCAGGCCCCCAGGUAACAAGGAAUCUUUGCUAUGGAAAUUGGAGGCGUUUCCAGUUCCCAACCCUUAGGAGACUGUCUCUAUGGAAAUGGGACUCUCCCCAGGGGCCAUUGUGGAUCACCCCCAAACAGCCCUUGCCUGGUAGGCCUGUGGCAGCUGCCAUGUCUGGCUAGGCCAACUCAACAUCCUUGGAGGUCUGCUCAGAGCAGAGUUUCUGCAGAAAUGUUUCGUGGCCAGUUUCAAAGCACCGGGGAGAGCAGCUUGCCCUGUGUUGGCUGUGCGGCAUCUGUUUUCUCAGAAGCUGGAGAGAGCUCAGGGGACUCACAGGAAGACAUUUUCAACAUUAACAAUGGCCAACAUUUAUGUUGGUCCUCACUCCAUGCUUGGCAUGUUCUAAGUGCUUGACAUCCAUUAACUUAUUUAAUUCUGACAACUCUGUGUGACAUGUUCCAUUGCUGUGGUCCCAUUUUACAGGCCAGAAAGCUGAAUCCAGAGAUCAGAUACCUUGCCCAAAGUCCCAGUGGCGGGUAGGCCAAGCUUGGCAUUCAUAAAGCUCUUACAUGUGCUCAUGGCAAAUGCUCCAGGACUUCCCUCUCUGCUCCUUUUUGGACCUUGUGAACACCAGGAUGUGUUCAUAUCUGUAGAAGGGGAAAAAAGAAGCAGUUGCCCAAUUCUCUCUCCCUGAUUCUGACUCCCACUCCUUUUCCGAUGGCUUUUAUAUUUUUUUCCUGCAGAAGGCAUAACAAGUGAGCACUGAUUGCAGGGAUUUAGGACAACUGUGAGACUUGAGUUGUUGAAUUUGAAUGCGAGAGCCCUUCUGUACCUCCUGUAGGGAUUUCUGGGCCUAGAGGGUGAGCUGCUUGGAUAAUAGAUUGGCUUAGACUUGUCAUGAAACUCUGUCACUUAGGAGGACCAGAAGGACCUGGUGAGUCUGGGUGGGGACACAGGGACUUACGUACGGCUGUUCUGACCAUGUCCACAGUUUGGAUAAAGAGGAUGCUUCUCCAUGUGAGGCGUCCAACAGCCAAGACGUGAGGUUGUAGAUGGGAGAGGGUUGCAGAAGGAGUGGGCAUGGUCUGUUGGUCCAAAGCCAACUUUGCACUGGAAAUAAGGAAGAAACACUUAUCAGCUCAUUAAUUAUAGGAUGCAGUAGGAUUGGCUGUGCCUCUGGGUGUGGGGCAGUAACCUAAUGCUUUAAACAAACAGCCCUGUCACUCAACAAUAAUUAGCAGCAACAAUAAGCAUCUUCAUAGAACUAGAUUGAUAGGUGGCCGACAACACACAGCCCCAAGCCUGGCCUAGAACUGGGCUUGGUUGCCACACCUGUGGAGCCAGCCAGUGGUUUGGCCAGCCUACAGGAGCAUGCACAGAAGUGAUACAUUCUUUCUUCUUCUGCUGUUUGCUGAUAACUUGUUCUGUAGGAGGCACUGAGAGGAAGGAAAUGUGAGAUUUAGCAACAUUCUAGUGAAUUGAGGAGUCAAGAUUAAUCUUGAAAAGUUAAACAGCAGCACAAGAAAUAUUGUAUAUGUCAAAAUACAGAGUGUGAGUGCUCAGGGCCAAGUAGGACUUAGAGGCAGACUCUCCACCAGAUGAAAGGUGAGGUGGACUUGUGGUGGGGUCUGCAUUCCCUGUGAGAUUUCUGCCAGGACACACUGCAAUGCUUCUUCUCAAGAAGUAGGAAACACAGGAAGAAAUUUUUCAGAUUGUACAUAUUGUUCUGUGAUUUGCUUUUC
rnacentral:lncRNA from 1 species